AGAGCGAACGCUGGCGGCAGGCUUAACACAUGCAAGUCGAGCGGGCGUAGCAAUACGUCAGCGGCAGACGGGUGAGUAACGCGUGGGAACGUACCUUUUGGUUCGGAACAACCCAGGGAAACUUGGGCUAAUACCGGAUAAGCCCUUACGGGGAAAGAUUUAUCGCCGAAAGAUCGGCCCGCGUCUGAUUAGCUAGUUGGUGAGGUAAUGGCUCACCAAGGCGACGAUCAGUAGCUGGUCUGAGAGGAUGAUCAGCCACAUUGGGACUGAGACACGGCCCAAACUCCUACGGGAGGCAGCAGUGGGGAAUAUGGACAAUGGGCGCAAGCCUGAUCCAGCCAUGCCGCGUGAGUGAUGAAGGCCCUAGGGUUGUAAAGCUCUUUGUGGCGGGAAGAUAAUGACGGUACCGCAAGAAUAACGCCCCGGCUAACUUCGUGCCAGCAGCCGC
rnacentral:rRNA from 1 species